rnacentral:rRNA from 1 species
AGGCUACUGCUAUCAGAGUUCGAUUAAGCCAUGUUAGUCGAGGGUGCUUCUUUUUCGGAAGAGGUAACCGGCGGACGGCUCAGUAACACGUAGACAACUUACCCUUGGGACCGGGAUAACCCCUGGGAAACUGGGGCUAAUAUCGGAUAGUGCAUUGAUUGCUGGAAUGCACGAUGUACGAAAGCUGAGGCGCCCAAGGAUAGGUCUGUGGCCGAUUAGGUUGUUGUUGAUGUAACGGAUCAACAAGCCUACGAUCGGUACGGGUUGUGAGAGCAAUAGCCCGGAGAUGGGUUCUGAGAGAAGAACCCAGGUCCUACGGGACGCAUCAGGCGCGAAAACUUUACAAUGUGCGAAAGCACGAUAAGGGAACUCUGAGUGCCUCCUAAGGAGGCUGUUCAGAUGUCUAAAAAGCAUCUGGAGGAAGGGCUGGGUAAGACCGGUGCCAGCCGCCGCGGUAACACCGGCAGCCCAAGUGGUAGUCAUGCUUACUGGGUCUAAAGCGUCCGUAGCCGGCCAGGUAAGUUCCUUGGGAAAUUUGAUCGCUUAACGAUUAAGCUUCCUGGGAAUACUACUUGGCUUGGGACCGGGAGAGGUUAGAGGUACCUCAAGGGUAGGGGUGAAAUCCGUUAAUCCUUGGGGGACCACCAGUAGCGAAGGCGUCUGACCAGACCGGAUCCGACGGUGAGGGACGAAGGCUAGGGGAGCGAACCGGAUUAGAUACCCGGGUAGUCCUAGCUGUAAACGAUGCGGGCUAGGUGUUGGCAUUACUGCGAGUGAUGCCAGUGCCGAAGGGAAGCCGUUAAGCCCGCCAUCUGGGGAGUACGGUCGCAAGGCUGAAACUUAAAGGAAUUGGCGGGGGAGCACCACAACGGGUGGAGCUUGCGGUUC